rnacentral:rRNA from 1 species
AUACGUAGGGUGCGAGCGUUGUCCGGAAUUACUGGGCGUAAAGAGCUUGUAGGUGGUUUGUCGCGUCGUCUGUGAAAUUCCGGGGCUUAACUCCGGGCGUGCAGGCGAUACGGGCAUAACUUGAGUACUGUAGGGGAGACUGGAAUUCCUGGUGUAGCGGUGAAAUGCGCAGAUAUCAGGAGGAACACCGGUGGCGAAGGGGGGUCUCUGGGCAGUAACUGACGCUGAGGAGCGAAAGCAUGGGUAGCGAACAGGAUUAGAUACCCUGGUAGUCCAUGCCGUAAACGGUGGGCGCUAGGUGUAGGGGUCUUCCACGACUUCUGUGCCGUAGCUAACGCAUUAAGCGCCCCGCCUGGGGAGUACGGCCGCAAGGCUAAAACUCAAAGGAAUUGACGGGG